ACCCGCCGGCAGGUUGUCGAUCAUGACAUGGACGCGGCCGGCCACCAGAUCGGUGAGCGCCGGUGCGCUGCCCUUAUAAGGGACAUGCACGAUGUCGAUGCCGGUCAUCGACUUGAACAACUCGGUGGCGAGAUGCGCGGUGCUGCCGAGACCGGGUGUGCCGUAGAACAACUGUCCCGGCUUCGAUUUCGCCAGCGCGAUGAAUUCGGCGACCGUUUUCGCAGGCACCUCCGGAUUGACCGACAUCAGAUUCGGAACGCGGGCGAUGAUGGUGACCGGCUGGAUGUCCUUGAUCGGAUCGUAGGGCAUGUUCUU
rnacentral:misc_RNA from 1 species